GAGGCGAGGCGAGGCCGUCGCUCCUCGCCCCCUGGGCACGGCCGACCCCCACCGCAUCCCCUCGCAGUGCUGCAGUAGAGUUCAGUGCUCUUAUAUGCCCCAGGGCACGGCCUCUCUAGCAAACCCUGGAGUGAAGCUGCUGUCAGCGUGUGGAGACUUGAGUGCCACCGACAGUCUGUUUUCUUUUUGUGUUCAGAGAGUUAUGCAGAGGGACCGGAGUGACUCAGUAAUAGGAAGUAUUGGUUGCACUGAGGCAAAACCAGGUGAAGUUAUUACUUGGUUUCUCUGUGACCUUGGGUCACUGUUCUGCAUCACUCUUCUGUUUGCUUAUGAAUCAGAAAUAGUAAUGCUUUCCAAAAACACACUGUGAAUAAAUACUAAUGAGCCUGAAAUGCUUAUCAGCUGUAGUAAUAAUAGGUAGAUAAUUAUAUUGUACCUCUAUAAUAGUGUGGACAGUACAGUUAGGAUUGUUUUGCUUGCAAGCUUUUCCUGUGGUAGUAACUUUGGAUAGGCAGUAACUUUGCAUUAGAAGACAUUUUAUAACUCAUGGUACUGUGUGAUUUUCAUUGUUACAAUCAUAGAAUUGUGGAAUGGCUUAAAUUGGAAGAGACCUUAAAGAUACUGAGUUCCAACCCUCUGCUGCAGGCAGUGUUAAGUCUUGUUUCAUAUUUUUGUGCAGAAAGUUCUCUAAUGGGCUUUUAAGUGAUCACCAUUCCACAGUGCAAAUAUUGUUUUGGUUUUUUUUUGUUUUUUUUUUCUUGUUUUCUUAAAACAGCACCAUUACUGCUGAGGAAACUUUGUGAAUUUCUAAUGGUGUCUGGUUGUCUCUGGGCAAGGUGAUAGAUUGAGGUUUUUGAUAUAGAAUUGGAAGAGAGACAUUCCAGUAUAUCUGCUCACAUCUUGGCAUGAUCAGGAAAUUACUUGGAACUGGUUUGUAGCUCACUGUGCCACCACACAGCUACGCUUGCCAGGGUUGAGUAGUAGUGUUUAUGAGGUGCUGUCUUGAGGUGCCUCAGUACUUGCAAGAAAAUACUGAAGUGGGUGACAGUAAGUUCAUUACAACAAGCUGAGCAGUUGAGGAAACAGUAUUUUUAUUCUCACAAUUAUAAGGUGAUCUGUGUGGAAAAUCAAAUGCCUUAAGUGUGCCAUUGGCAAACACAUUCACUAGAGGAAUCUGAAAACUCUGUAGGAGUUGCCUGGAGUGGUUCCUGCUGCUCUCCAGAGCAGUGCUGCCACUGCCAUAGCAGGUGAGCUGGAGCUGCUGCUCUCAAGAAUGCUGAGCAGAGUCAGCUGAGUUUUCCUCUGCAGUUUUGCUGUAUGCAAAUUGGAGCAGGUAGCUUGUUCAUUUAGUGCUCUUUGAUUUUGUUUUGUUCUUUUUUUUGUUUGUUUUUCUGAUCUAUUCUGGAACGAUACACCACACAGGAGCACUAACUGCCUGGUAUCUGUAAGUUUUGCUUCUGAGAGUAAUUUGUUCUGUAGUUUAUCACUUGUCUGCUCAAGUUUGUUUGGAACUUCCAUAAUGCUAAAUAGGACAACUGUUCUGUGUGAGGAGGAGGUGAGCACAACAGAAGACUUUUGUCUGCGGUUUAACAACAAAACUGAAAGUUGCUCUGGCAAAAUGGCAAUUCAUUGUUAAUUCAUGAGAUGUAGGUGCCCUGGAAAAAUCAAAUACCAGUUUCAUAGCUACCCUUAGGCAUCUCUAAUUUAUGCAAGCAGGGCUUGCUGAGUAGCUGCUGAGUAGCUACUGAGUCUCAUUGACCUUAGUAGGUUUGCAGAGGUCGUAUUUUAAGACAGAUAAGUUAUGCUUGAACUAUUUUUUCAGUAAGUACUAGGAGCAAGUGUUUGUGUACAUAAUUACGUGCUUUUUUCCAAUCCUCCAUUACAUUUUCUGUUUUUCUUUAGAUUCUGGCUUGUAAGUACUACAGUAAAUCCUAGAGUCUCUUUUGUUUGUGUUUUUUCUUAAUCAGUCAUCUUAAUAUUAGUAAGAAACGUGAGUUUUUGAGGACAACUUCUUUUUUGGGGUCUCAGUAAAAUGGGAGAAACAAAGGUUUCACAGACUGCCAGAAAGGCAGUUGUCGGAUCAGGGGAACUCGGGGUGUGGGAAGCCAGAACAACCCAAACGUGUGUGAGUGACAUCAGCAUUUUUCUGAGCCAUUUAUGCUGCUCACUUCUGUCGGUUCCCAGCAGUGCCUGUGUCUUAUGUAAGCUCACACUGUACAUCCUGUCCUGCUGUUCUCAUGCAUGAAAAUCAUUGGCGUUAUCUUACUGUACAUUUUGAGAGCUGAGCAGUGACUGACUACUUGUCUCAAAUGUUUGCAUGCAAGUCUCUCACAAGCAUGCUGGAGAGAGCUACGCCAAGAGCAUGGUGCUGUCCUCCUAGGAGACAUCAGAGGGAUAACUUGGAGUGGACGCAGCUCGUCCUCUGCUCGCUCUUAUAAUAGGCACUAUGAAGUAAUGCAGCAACUGAGGUAAUUGUACUGCUGCAGACAGAAGUCCUGAUCUGUAUCACGCGCAGAUGGACCACUAAUGCAGUUUCGAUGGCUGGUGAUAAAAACAGACAUAGAAAACAAAGGACAGUGGUUUCAACAGAGGCUUUAAUAAUGUUAGGACUGGAAAAGAGAGGCUUUUAUAUACUCUUACUGUGCACUGCUUGUUACAGGUCUUGGAAGGAAACCGUGCCUUCAGGUGGGCUGAUGCUUUACCCUUGUUCCUGUAGUUAGCAUUUAGUGAUGCAUAAUGAAGUACUGUCACUGGAUGGGUGAAAUUGGAGCAAACCUCCAAUACAAGGCUUCAGAAACAAACAUUCCCUCUAUUUUUUUUUUUCUUGCUAAACCUAUCUGUAAUCAUCAGUCAUAAAAUCCUGCAGUAAUGCGAUAUCUGUUAAUGCAAAGUAAGUUGGCCACCUUCUUUAAAUGCUACCCAGUACUUCAGUUACGAAGCAAAGCUGCCUCUACUUCUUAAAUACUCUUGUGUCUUCAUGCUGCUCCUGCAGUAUGGAGGAGACAGGUUUCUGCUCCUCUGCUCUGGUGAAUGCGCUUGUGUGGCACUGUGGCUUGUUUUGGGGGAGCUGUGUUUGUAGGUCUGUAGUUCGUUACAAGCACUGAUGGGAAAGGCUGACAGGCAGGAGAGGUGCACCUGGGUAGGAGUGCAUUUGUGGAAAGGCCUUGAAAGAUUCCUUCAUUCCUUCUUUGUGGCUUCCCAGUGUGAUCUGUUCCGUGCUGCGUGAAACAAUUCCUCAUUGUGCCGGAGUGUAAGACUUAACAAGGAAACCGGCCAUCUGAAGAGGAACAGGUGCAAUGCUCUGAUGCUUAGAAGCUACAUAAAUUCCUGAGUGAGCAGAUCUUGCAGAGUGUAAGGUAAUUUAUUGGCAAAACAUCUAAGAAGGACUUGAGUUUUUGUUUUGAGUAGGGAAUUGAAUGAUCUCUGCUGCCUUUAUCACACAAAU